GUGGCUGGCGGCAGCUACACAUGCAGUCGAGCGGAUGAGUGGAGCUUGCUCCAUGAUUCAGCGGCGGACGGGUGAGUAAUGCCUAGGAAUCUGCCUGGUAGUGGGGGACAACGUUUCGAAAGGAACGCUAAUACCGCAUACGUCCUACGGGAGAAAGCAGGGGACCUUCGGGCCUUGCGCUAUCAGAUGAGCCUAGGUCGGAUUAGCUAGUAGGUGAGGUAAAGGCUCACCUAGGCGACGAUCCGUAACUGGUCUGAGAGGAUGAUCAGUCACACUGGAACUGAGACACGGUCCAGACUCCUACGGGAGGCAGCAGUGGGGAAUAUUGGACAAUGGGCGAAAGCCUGAUCCAGCCAUGCCGCGUGUGUGAAGAAGGUCUUCGGAUUGUAAAGCACUUUAAGUUGGGAGGAAGGGCAGUAAGUUAAUACCUUGCUGUUUUGACGUUACCAACAGAAUAAGCACCGGCUAACUUCGUGCCAGCAGCCGCGGUAAUACGAAGGGUGCAAGCGUUAAUCGGAAUUACUGGGCGUAAAGCGCGCGUAGGUGGUUCAGCAAGUUGGAGGUGAAAUCCCCGGGCUCAACCUGGGAACUGCCUCCAAAACUACUGAGCUAGAGUACGGUAGAGGGUAGUGGAAUUUCCUGUGUAGCGGUGAAAUGCGUAGAUAUAGGAAGGAACACCAGUGGCGAAGGCGACUACCUGGACUGAUACUGACACUGAGG
rnacentral:rRNA from 1 species